AUUGAACGCUGGCGGCAGGCCUAACACAUGCAAGUCGAACGAGUGGCGGACGGGUGAGUAAUGUCUGGGAAACUGCCUGAUGGAGGGGGAUAACUACUGGAAACGGUAGCUAAUACCGCAUACCAUCAGAUGUGCCCCGAUGGGAUUAGCUUGUUGGUGGGGUAACGGCUCACCAAGGCGACGAUCCCUAGCUGGUCUGAGAGGAUGACCGGCAACACGGGAACUGAGACACGGUCCAGACGCCUCCGGGAGGCAGCAGUUGGGAAUAUUGCACAAUGGGCGCAAGCCGGAUGCAGCCAGGCCGCGGGUAUGAAGAAGGCGUUCGGGUGGUAAAGUACGUUCUGCAGGGAGACGGUACCCGCAGAGGAAGCACCGGCUAACUCCGUGCCAGCCGCCGCGGUAAUUC
rnacentral:rRNA from 1 species